UACGAAGGACCCGAGCGUUAUCCGGAUUUAUUGGGUUUAAAGGGUGCGUAGGCGGAUUAGUAAGUCAGUGGUGAAAGCCCAUCGCUUAACGGUGGAAUUGCCAUUGAUACUGCUAGUCUUGAGUAUGGUUGAGGUGGGCGGAAUGUGUCAUGUAGCGGUGAAAUGCUUAGAUAUGACCCAGAACACCAAUUGCGAAGGCAGCUCGCUAAACCAUAACUGACGCUGGUGCACGAAAGCGUGGGGAGCAAACAGG
rnacentral:rRNA from 1 species